GAACUUGUAGCUCAGUUGGUUAGAGCGCCUCGUUGACAUCGAGGAGGUCAGAGGUUCGAGUCCUCUCAAGUUCACCA
rnacentral:tRNA from 1 species